rnacentral:rRNA from 1 species
AUUGAACGCUGGCGGCAGGCCUAACACAUGCAAGUCGAGCGAGCGGCGGACGGGUGAGUAAUGUCUGGGAAUCUGCCCGAUGGAGGGGGAUAACUACUGGAAACGGUAGCUAAUACCGCAUACUAUCGGAUGCGCCCAGAUGGGAUUAGCUAGUAGGUGGGGUAAAGGCUCACCUAGGCGACGAUCCCUAGCUGGUCUGAGAGGAUGACCAGCCACACUGGAACUGAGACCCGGUCCAGACUCCUACGGGAGGCAGCAGUGGGGAAUAUUGCACAAUGGGCGCAAGCCUGAUGCAGCCAUGCCGCGUGUAUGAAGCAGGCCUUCGGGUUGUAAAGUACUUUCAGCGUGGAGGCGUUACCCGCAGAAGAAGCACCGGCUAACUCCGUGCCAGCAGCCGCGGUAAUUC